rnacentral:lncRNA from 1 species
GCGGGCUGAUAUGAAAAGUUUAUCACAUGCUUCGAUUGUUAUCACAUGCCUUUCCGUAACGUUAUCACAUGGCAUUCCGGUGAUACUCGGCAAAUUCCGGAAAAUACAUCCCAAUGCUACGUUUUCAGUGAAAAACAUUACAAAGUAGUGCACAAAACAAUUAUUUGAAUAGUGGAAAGUAUAUUGUGUAAAAUGAUUACAUUAAAUAAAAA